rnacentral:rRNA from 1 species
UACGUAGGGGGCAAGCGUUGUCCGGAUUUAUUGGGCGUAAAGAGCGUGUAGGCGGCCAGGUAGGUCUGCUGUGAAAACUGGAGGCUUAACCUCGAGCUGUCGGCGGAAACCAUCUGGCUAGAGUCCGGAAGAGGAGAAUGGAAUUCCCGGUGUAGCGGUGAAAUGCGCAGAUAUCGGGAAGAACACCCGUGGCGAAGGCGGUUC